rnacentral:sRNA from 1 species
AUUCCAGAGUGAACAGCUGGGGGCUGUUGCUGGCAGAGAGGGUGGCUAAAGGGGCCCUGAGGAGGGAGAAGGAGGGAGCAGGAAGGGAGAAGCACACUAGGCUGUAGAAGGGUCCCCCUCCUAAUAUACUGAGCCUCAGGGUGAAGAGUGAAGGACCCAAACUGGUGCCAUUCUUCAAGGCCACCUGCGUGUAUUUUGUGCUCUGGCUGCCCUCAUCUAGCCCAUCGUGGGUCAGCACCCUCAUCAAGUGCCUGCCCAUCUUCUGCCUCUGGCUCUUCCUUCUGGCUCAUGGCCUGGGAUUCCUGCUGGCCCACCCCAGCGCCACCCGCAUCUUUGUGGGGCUUGUCUUCUCUGCUGUAGGUGACGCCUUCCUCAUCUGGCAGGACCAAGGAUACUUCGUGCAUGGUCUGCUGAUGUUUGCUGUGACCCACAUGUUCUACGCCUCGGCCUUUGGCAUGCGGCCACUGGCUCUUCGGACAGGUCUGGUGAUGGCAGCGCUGUCGGGCCUGUGCUAUGCCCUCCUCUACCCAUG